GAGCCAUGUGCCUGGCAAAUCAGCAAAUGGC
rnacentral:piRNA from 1 species